AGAGUUUGAUCCUGGCUCAGGACGAACGCUGGCGGCGUGCCUAACACAUGCAAGUCGAACGGAAGUUAGAGCUUCGGUUUUAACUUUAGUGGCGAACGGGUGAGUAACGCGUGAGGAACCUGCCUUUCAGUGGGGGACAACAGUUGGAAACGACUGCUAAUACCGCAUGACACUUUUGGGAGACAUCUCCUGGAAGUCAAAGCUUUAUGUGCUGAAAGAUGGCCUCGCGUCUGAUUAGCUGGUUGGUGAGGUAACGGCUCACCAAGGCGACGAUCAGUAGCCGGUCUGAGAGGAUGAACGGCCACAUUGGGACUGAGAUACGGCCCAGACUCCUACGGGAGGCAGCAGUGGGGAAUAUUGGGCAAUGGGCGCAAGCCUGACCCAGCAACGCCGCGUGAAGGAAGAAGGCUUUCGGGUUGUAAACUUCUUUUGUCAGGGACGAGUAGAAGACGGUACCUGACGAAUAAGCCACGGCUAACUACGUGCCAGCAGCCGCGGUAAUACGUAGGUGGCAAGCGUUGUCCGGAUUUACUGGGUGUAAAGGGCGUGUAGCCGGGAGGGCAAGUCAGAUGUGAAAUCCACGGGCUCAACUCGUGAACUGCAUUUGAAACUACUCUUCUUGAGUAUCGGAGAGGCAAUCGGAAUUCCUAGUGUAGCGGUGAAAUGCGUAGAUAUUAGGAGGAACACCAGUGGCGAAGGCGGCUUACUGGACGAUAACUGACGCUGAGGCUCGAAAGCGUGGGGAGCAAACAGGAUUAGAUACCCUGGUAGUCCACGCUGUAAACGAUGAAUACUAGGUGUGCGGGGACUGACCCCCUGCGUGCCGCAGCUAACGCAAUAAGUAUUCCACCUGGGGAGUACGAUCGCAAGGUUGAAACUCAAAGGAAUUGACGGGGGCCCGCACAAGCGGUGGAUUAUGUGGUUUAAUUCGAAGCAACGCGAAGAACCUUACCAGGGCUUGACAUCCUACUAACGAAGUAGAGAUACAUCAGGUGCCCUUCGGGGAAAGUAGAGACAGGUGGUGCAUGGUUGUCGUCAGCUCGUGUCGUGAGAUGUUGGGUUAAGUC
rnacentral:rRNA from 1 species